GAUUUCAACUGAAAAAGUUAUCAACAACAAAGUUGUAUAACUCAUCAAGAUCUAUAACUUUUAUUUUGGUUGUUUCUUCAUCCGACAAAGUGAUAGUAACAUUGUUCAUAAAAUUUACAUCUAUCUUAUUUGGUUCUAUAAACUAUAAGAGAGAAGUAAACUUUGUGAACAAUGUUACUAUCACUUUAUCGGAUGAAGAAAUGACCAAAAUAAAAGUUGUAUGUCUUGAUGAGCUCUACAACUUUUAUGUUCAUGACUUUUUCAGCUGAAAUU
rnacentral:pre_miRNA from 1 species